GUGGUAACUUCUGCAGCACAUAUACUAAAAUUGGAAUGAUACUGAGAUCAGCAUGGUAUUGCACAAAAUUGACACAUAAAUUUGUGAAGUGUCCCACAUUUUU
ensembl:snRNA U6 U6 spliceosomal RNA